AGCAGAUUUGGUGUAUGGUGAGAACCAGCAUCCUGGCUUGCAGAUGGCUGUCUUCUUGCUGUGUCCUCACGUGGUGGAAAAAGGUCAGACCAAGAGCUGCAAAUGAAACAGAUAUCCAUGAGUUCGGGUGUUUAAGAAACAAGCUAGAAGAGUCUACCAAGAAGAUUCCUGGGGUACAAUGCCGAGUGCACCCCAACUAAAGUGCACAGAGAUUGCCCUCGCCAGAGUUAUCAUCAUUUUCAUCAUGGUCACCAUUUAUUGAAAGCUCGCUGUCUACUUGGCACUGCAUUAAGAGGAGGAAAAACUAUGAUGGUCAUAGAUGCAAGAACCAAACCAAACCUUGGAAGCACAUUUAUGGCCUCUGCUCACUCCAAGUCCUUGUCAUUCCAUUGGCUCAAGCAAGUUAUAUGGCGAAGUCCAACAUCCAUAAGUGACUGCUGGGAGCCCACGACUAGAACAGCCAUCAAGUGCAAAUGAAGGAACAGCUCAGCUGAUGUCAGAACGGAGUCUUUAAGGUCGUCUCUAUUACUUCCUCCAAGCACUUCACACCCAGCCUCCUGGAAGGGCUGCUCCAUCAGCCCAGCCCCUGAAAUCACGUUUGAUAAAGAGUGGACAUCGUGGAGGAAUAUGGCAGGUCGAGGAGUACGAAGCCAGUGUAGGAAACUGGAGGAAACUUAGCAAGGCCAGUGCGUUUGGAUUCUUCUCCAUGAUCCUUUGUCUUCAGAGAUGAGGAUGCCCCUUUCCUCGGGGUGCAGGCAGGCAGAGGCCAGGCGUCAGUUCAAGGGGAAAGGACAAGUUCCCUCAUCAUCCUGUUAUGCGGAGAAGUGUUUACUGCAGCAAAUAGCAAGUGCUCAGCUCAAUUCCACUGUUAGCCGCUUGACCCUCCUCUGACUGCCUCCUCCUGGGCCCCUUGUCCACAUGCCCCAGUCUACCGAGCUUCCUCCCGCUCCUCAAACCUGCCUCUGGGUCCUCCCACAUUCCAUCCCCUCUCCUUCUUCCCCUAGCUCACUCCUUCUCGUCAUUUAGGGCUCAGCUGGAGGGUGGCACCAUCAGGGAAGCCCUUCCUGACCAUCCCUGCAUGAGGCACUCCCACCAGGUAUUCCCAUACCCGUCCUGUCCUGUUAGAAUGCAUUUUUCUAGAGAAAGAGAGCUUGUAUGAGGAAUCUAAAAAGAAAUGAUACAAACGAACUUAUUUAUAAAACAGAAACAGACUACAGACUCACAGACUUGGAGAAGGAAUUUAUGGUUGGGGGGCGGGGCGCAUGGAGAAGGAUGGGGAGAAGGGAUAGUUAGAGAGUGUGGGACUGACAUGUACACACUGCUGUAUUUAAAAUGGAUAACCAACAAGGACGUACCGUAUAGCACAGGGAGCUCUGCUCAAUAUUAUGUGACAACCUAAAUGGGAAAAGAAUCUGAAAAAGAAUAGAUAUGUGUAUAUGUAUAACUGAAAUACUGUGUGGUACACCUGAAACUAUCACAACAUUGUUAAUCAACUAUACUCCAGUAUAAGAUAAAAAGUUUUAAAAAAAUGCUUUUACUCACAGGCUUAUUUUUCAAUUUCUGCUUCUAGAAUGAGGAACAUGUCCAUUGAGUUCUCCAAGGCCUUUACUGCUAGCACAGUGGCUGGUACAGAAAACUGCUCAAUACCUGUUUGUUGAAUGGAAAAAAAAACAUUAGCUGUUCUUUUUGAAGGCAAUUUACCAGUAAAGCUCCCAUGUCCUGAGGGGUUGGGAGGCCUAAAGCCUGGACAACUUGAAGCUCUCUGCUCUUCCCUUUAAAGAAGCAAGGAAACCCCUGAGCAGAGGACACAGACUCCCCCUCGCCCUGCCUUUCUGCAACUCUCCCCCAGGGUGCUUGCUGUCAGCAGAUUUGAUGAGGCCUAGGGGAACUAUGUGGAAAGAGAAAGAAAAAGAAAGAGACUCAAACCUAACUCUAUGAAGCUAAAAGGUCACCAGGGCCCAUUUCUCCCCUAAGGUUUCAGGCCUCCCUCCCUCCUGUCUGUGUUAAUGAGGCAGUUA